rnacentral:rRNA from 1 species
CGGGGUGCAGCAGGCGCGAAAACUUUACAAUGCGGGAAACCGUGAUAAGGGGACACCGAGUGCCAGCAUCAUAUGCUGGCUGUCCAGGUGUGUAAACUACACCUGUUAGCAAGGGCCGGGCAAGACCGGUGCCAGCCGCCGCGGUAACACCGGCGGCCCGAGUGGUGAUCGUGAUUAUUGGGUCUAAAGGGUCCGUAGCCGGUUUGGUCAGUCCUCCGGGAAAUCUGACGGCUCAACCGUUAGGCUUUCGGGGGAUACUGCCAGGCUUGGAACCGGGAGAGGUAAGAGGUACUACAGGGGUGGGAGUGAAAUCUUGUAAUCCCUGUGGGACCACCUGUGGCGAAGGCGUCUUACCAGAACGGGUUCGACGGUGAGGGACGAAAGCUGGGGGCACGAACCGGAUUAGAUACCCGGGUAGUCCCAGCCGUAAACGAUGCUCGCUAGGUGUCAGGCAUGGCGCGACCGUGUCUGGUGCCGCAGGGAAGCCGUGAAGCGAGCCACCUGGGAAGUACGGCCGCAAGGCUGAAACUUAAAGGAAUUGGCGGGGGAGCAC